rnacentral:rRNA from 1 species
UACGGGGGGAGCAAGCGUUGUUCGGAUUUACUGGGCGUAAAGCGUGCGCAGGCGGUUCGCUGUGUCCGAUGUGAAAGCCCCGGGCUUAACCUGGGAAUGGCAUUGGAAACUGGCGGGCUUGAGUGCGGCAGAGGGGGGUGGAAUUCCGCGUGUAGCAGUGAAAUGCGUAGAGAUGCGGAGGAACACCGAUGGCGAAGGCAGCCCCCUGGGUCGACACUGACGCUCAGGCACGAAAGCGUGGGGAGCAAACAGG